GACGACACUCUCGAUUUUCUUGCAGAUAUGGUGUCUCUGAGUGUGGAUACUCGUGUAUUACUAGGGCUUUCCUCAGAAUUGUUUUGCGAUCCAGGGGAGUCCAUUAUGGUACUUAUCGAAUCUGAUUCUGGAGCCAAUUUGGGGUUCUCAAUUGCUUUUGGCCCUCUUAGCUGUUCAAUGGUGUUAUCGCGUUUCAUCCUUGAUAUUCCACAUGAGAGCCUCUCCAAGAAGUAUUUCUUGUCUUUCUUCAUCUGCCUGCACCAAAAGAAGGACACGGUAUAAAAUCCCUCAAAGAUCAACUCUCAGGGUCUUAAGAACAACUUGGAACUCUUAACUGACCUGUCAAGUAUCACCCAUGAUGCCUUAAAUUCUUUGGCAACUUCUACAGCAACCACUUUUGGAGAAGGCCAGGGUUGCACCUCUAUGCAGAACUUAAUCUGAUUAAUUUGAGGUACAAAAACAACCUUGUUAGCCAUUUUCUUACACAUCAUAUACGACAAACUGAAUGCCUAUCCUAAGAUUUUAUUUUGUUUUUUAGAUAACCCGGUGUCUGGGAAAGCUUGCGCGCACCUUGACUAAUUCCGGGACCCAGAAGUUAAUGAUAGGGCAAACCUCAAGUGACCCCUUGUAAUUUACCCCUUUUAUUUUGUACAUCAAAGGUUCUCACAGGGAAUCUUCAGCUAAAGAAGGGUCAACAUUAGCAAGAAGUCGACUGAUAUUCAUCUUAACUGCAUUUGGUUUUACUGGCACAGUUAAUUUAGUUCAUGCAUCUCGUAGUCCGACACAUGUUUAACACUUAGGUAAAAUCCUUUGACGAUGUUGUUGAUUAAUAAAACAGGUGGAAGUUAUGGAUGUAGUAAGACCAGAAAAUCAUACUCAACAUAGAAGUUUCCUAAAAUAACAGAUUUAAAAUGCAUCAGCAAAAAUGGAUGUGGAAAAUUCUCUUGACUGAACUGUUAAGAGAAGGAAAGGUGGUGAUUCCAAGUAAAUAAGCAUCUCCAGUGUUAGUUUGAGAGCGGAUAUUCGGAUAUCCGCGGCGAUGAGCUUAUGAAUUUUCACAUGGUUGGAGGAAGAAAGAUGUGUUUAUGCUGCAAGUUUUGUAAAUUCCUAUGUUUUCCAUGCAUUUUAUUAUUACUUUCUGUAAAUUGUUUGGCACAGCAAGACAAGAAAUAUGGGGAGAAUGGGAGAUUACAAAGCUCUUAGUCCUAAAAAUGUCAUCCCUUGUUGUCAUAUAUGUAUAUUUUUUAUUAUAUAUUUAUACAUAUUUUAUUGUUCUCUGGAUGAUUCUUAUUUUAAUGUUAUAUAUUAUAUAUUUU